GUGAAAUCCCCACCCUGCUUUGAACAGUCUCUAUACUGCAAACACACCCUUUCUCCGGAUUUGGCUUUAUUGGUAACUCCAGUGACUAAGCAUAAGCCUCAGUAUACGCUUUCUUGCCAAAAUUGGUGUUUCUAUUGCAGAACUUCCACUGCCCCGGAUCCAAAGAGCCAGUCCAACCUUUGCUGGAGUGACCUGCCAGCAUGAGUCAUCAGAAACUACUCCACAGCCUUAUUCAGGGUCCAAGUACCUGAGUUUAGGGAGACUAGACGGAAAAGCAUCUUUGUGCUGGGUCUUGGAAUCUGCCACCUGAACUAGUGUUCUAUUAGCCUCUGAACUUCUGGCUUACAUCAAUAUAACAUGACUGGCAUUGAGACUCUUUUCAAAACAGCAACUCGAGAACUGUCCUCACCUGUGAUGAGCCACCAUUGAUACCAAAAUUUUAAAGCAGAAAGGACCAUUCUGAUGGCCCAGUCUGACCUGCUGGACAACAGGCCAGAGAACUCACCCAAUCAUUCCUGCACCAUUUCUGGCUGAGCUAGAGAGUCUCUUUUCGAAAGAUACCCAAUCUCGACUGAAAGACUGCAAGCGAUGGAGAAACUACCACAUCCCUCGGCAUUCACUCUGCUCGCCGUUCACAUCCCCUGGACUGAGCUCUUCCCCCCUCGGCCCAGACAUGUCAGGGUUUCCUCACUGUUGUUCAAAAGGAACAGCUCCCUGUGGAGGGAGACCGUGUAUCUACACAACGCAGCACCUGGGACUCGCUCGGGCACAGAACUGGGGAGAGACAAUGAGAGCCCAAAGGGCAACUUGGACUCAGGGAGAGGGAAAGGCAAGUGGCUCAGGGGACUGGGGGUGGGAUAAAGACCCUCUCCCCUUCAGGUGGCUGGUUCUAUCUCAACUCUGCAAGCCAUUCCCAUUGGCGGGCACAGGGCUGUCUGUGGCUAGUAUUUACCACCCUCUAAUGGGGGUGCCCUGGAGGUGAGGUUGCCAUUUCACACGUGACCUCCUGCACAACUGCUAUGGCAGGCCACAUCUGCAGCCCAAGCCAGGGCUCUGAGAUGGCACCAAGCAUUCUCUCUCUCAGGGGCUUGACUGCCUGGUUCUUGCUCACAUGCUCAGGGGUCAGAUCGCCAUGUGGGGGAGGGAGGAAAUUUCCCCCCAGGUCUGAUUGGCAGGGUUCUUGGGGGGUUUCACCUUGCUCUGCACCCCAUGAGUGGGAGUCACUUGCCAGGAUUAUCUGGGUAUAUCUCGUUUAAUCAUUUCCCUACCAUUGCAGGGGCCUUGGGCACUGGCGCACCUCAGUCCCUCCUAAUUUCUGCCCAUGGCAUGGAACAGUCUAAUCUCCCGUGGGUCCCAUUUCCUUCAGUCUCACUUCAGUUGUUGGGUUUAGCACGUGGGCGCUGGCUGGUGUAGACAGCCUGCAAUGUACAGGAAGUCAGACUAGGUGAACGAGCGGUCCCUUCUAGCUUUAAACUCUAGGACUCCGUGAGGUCAAGCCCCCUGCAGCUACAGGACACCGCGCAACGAGAAACUCACUGGCUACCAGGAGCUGGACUCUGUGCUCUUGGACUAUCUCGUUCAGCACGUCCUUGCAGGUGUAAUUGCCCUCAUCCUGCGGGCGCAACGCUAAGAUGUGCAGAGAGCUAUUGUCCACCAGGGACAAGCGGGCAUCUUGGGGCAGCGUGGCAUUGGAGGAGAAGAGUGGGGGCACGGUGCCAGGGUCACCGUGAAACCAGUCCACCUCGUCCACUCGCUCAGACACAUUUCGGCAUAAGAGGACGACACUCUCUCCGGCCUCCCCGAUGAUCACCUCUUCUGUUCCUGCACGCAGAGAAGGAGAGCAUUAAAAUGUGCACCGUGCCCCCACAUUCUGACCACCCCCUUUGGUAGCUGGCAGGUGAAUCCCCCUGGGCAUCUCAGCAAAGGAUUUUCCAUUCCCCCAAGCCAUGCACCAAAGAGGAAGCCAUCUCGUUCAUGAAACAAAGUGGGGGCUAAACUCCUGGCUAAGCAGGGGGCCAUCUAAGAUGCCACAUGUGGGGCAUGCUGCUGGAAGAAUACUGGGACCACCCUGGUCACUCACCAACAGGCCCAUCCUAAGGCAUGUUUCCCUGGUUGCUGAGUUUCUGCCCACCCAAGUCCCCUUCCAAAUCUGCAUCCCUCUUUCUGCUCAGUUGCACAAGGGGCUGUCUUUGGGUCUCUAUCUCAGUAUCCUUUGCAACAGCUGCCAUGGUGCCUCCUUUGAAGCAUUGCUACAAACCAGCGCAAAGGAUUCUGGGAUGCAUUGGGCAGCUAAAGAUGCCUAGUGCUUACAAGUGAGCAGAAACAGGGACCCCGCUUGGGCUGUAAAUGAAAGAUACAGGCUAGCUGCUGCCUCCCUCCCACCAGCACGGCGGGCGAGGGAUUUGGGAGGAGCCAAAUCUCAUCUGGGCUACUGGACCAGUGCAUCGAGGGCCAGCAGUGACUGGGGUCUACAUUUAUCUGGUCUGAGUAGGGUUCAAAGACACUAACCCAUCUCAGCAUUCACAGCCACCAUUUCCCUGCAUCAUCCCCAUUUUCCUCCUUUAUAGCAGCUCCAAUUGCAACACUCAUCCCGGCAGGGGCGUCAGCCAGCCUCCAGUAAAAGUGCAAUAAUAUUGCUCCAGAAUCCAUAGCUGUUGGAAGACGAUAGAUGCCACCCAGUCUUCCCGCUGACUGUCCUCAUCAACCUCUGACCAGAGCUCAGCUUUCUUGGCCUGAGGCCAACACCAGCGAGCAGAACUCCCAUCAAGACACUGUAUUCUAGCAGAGACUAACCAGCACUGCAUCCCAAAGAAGCAGGCCAGGCUUGGAUGAGAGGAACGCUCAGAAAACAGGCCUUGGAAUCUCGCUUACCUGGGCCAGGUCUCCUGGUCUAACACCAAAUGCAUCCGAUGAAGUGAGCUGUAGCUCACGAAAGCUUAUGCUCUAAUAAAUGUGUUAGUCUCUAAGGUGCCACAAGUACUCCUUUUCUUUUUACCACACAGGUGGUGACCAUACCACUAAAACUGUCUCUGCAUAGAAUGUCUUGCUACUUACACAAUAAAGAGGAGGGUGCGGGGAAGGGAAAGAACAGACAAUCUGGUAAAAGUCUCUUCUCUUUGUGCUUUACCGGCAGCCCUGAUAACAUAUCUCACAGCGCAACUGCAAGCAGGCUGGAGACGACAGAGCAGGGAAGGUGAACUGACAAGAAUGGUGUUGUGUUUGUUCUUUUCUACACGCACCAUAGGCUAUAUAUAUAAUAAGUAGUUAAUCACUCCUCAACACAGGUUGGAGCUAGUUUUGGAAACACGUUCAGGGCAGCAGGGAGGAGCAGGCUACAUGAAUAGUUCCGGUUAGCCAUAAAUCACUUUGCUUGUGGCCUCAGCACGGAGCCAGAGCCAGAAGAGUGGUGUUCCAUGCCCAGCCCCACCAUCCACUCCCCUUAGGCCAGUAGCUAAUUGCCUGAUUCUGAGAUGGGCUGGGCAAUCACCCAUUCCACUGGAUCAGGGCUGCCUAGUGGAGAGAGCACAGGACGGGGACCCCGGAAACCUGGGUUCUAUUCUCAGUGCUGCUACUGCCCUGCUGUGCCAAUUCAUUUGGCCUCUCUGUGCCUCUGUUUCUCCUGCCACCCUAUUUCAAUAUUAAGCUCCCAAGGGCAGGGGCUGUCUAACACUAUGUAUCAGUACUGCACAGAAGAGUUCUGAUCUUGGUCAGGACCUCUAGGCACUAGCAAAAUACAUUUAUAUAUACAAAUAACAGCAAUGAAGUCAAUAGGAAUUGCAGGUGAAAUUCUGUCUCUGAACCUUUCUGUGCCUCAAUUACAAAUAGGGGAUAGCACCAUUUACCCAUUUUGUGAAGCACUGAGAUCUAUGAUGAAAAGUACUCUGUAUUAUCAUAUUAUUUGUAAUAAAUCGUAAUAGCUUGCUCUGAUAUAGCUCUCCUCAUCCAUCUUGCUCAAGCCACUUUACAGAGGAUAGUUAUCUGCAUUUCACAGGUGGGAAACUGAGGCACAGGCAGGGAAAGUGAUUUGCUCAGAGUCCUGCAGCAGGGCUGGGCACAGAACCCCGGUCCCCUGAGUCCCAGUUCAAUGCUUCUUUCGACGCUGCCUCCUGUAACUCUUUGUGGUUUGGUCUAUGAGAACUAUAGCUACUUCUGCACUUGGAUGAUACACUGAAGUACACCAUUUGGUUGUUUAAAAAAGGGUAACUAUAAAGUUUUAAUAACAGAAAUGCUUUGAAGGCUUUUCCAUGAGGCAACAGGCAUUGUCCUGUCAGUCAAACAAGACUCUUGGGGAAGUUUCCAACAGCCAUGUAACUUUAAGAGAAAAUUCACACAUUUCUUCCUGUGCACUCAGUGAUCACGCAGGAGAGCGUGACAACGCCGGGCACUGAAGUUUUCGCUGUAUUUACUGCACCUGCAGUGGUAAAUGCAACUUUCCUCCACACUCCACAUCCCUCCCCAGAAAUGCUUCCCAGCAUGACCCCUUCAAUUCUCAGCUUCUCUGCUGAGACUGACCGGCAAGAGGGCCAAUUAGUGCCAGCUAUGGAGGUGUGACUAUUUGGGUGUGGUAGACACCUUUCCAUUAGGAGCUGGACAGAGAUCUAGAAAAGAAGGAUGGUCUCUGGUUAAAGCACCCGACUAGGACCCAAGACAGCUGGAUUCUAUUCCUGUCAUAGCCACAGACUAACUUGGGCAGCUCACUUCACCUCUCUGUGCCUCAGCUCCCCCACCUGUACAACAGGAUUAAUACUUCCCUACCUCACAAGGCGUUGUGAAACCAAACCUAGCUUCAGGGUCCAGGAGCGGAGCCGGACACUACAGCCUGUAGCUCGACAACAGCCCCAGAUACCCGAGCGUGGAUCGCGUCCGACUGAAAGCAGCGUUCCCAGCGGUGCCCCGGCCCCGGGAAGGCUCCCUGCCUCAGUUUCCCUAAUGUCUACAAGCGGCAUCCCGAGACUUUGCCCCGCUUUGCGCAGCGAGGAGCGUGGCUGCGAUGGUUACCGCAGCCGGGCAGGGCUAAGGAGCAGAAGCCGUUUGACGUUACAGCUGCUCCGCUUCCCCAGGAGGGGCAGGUCCUACCCGGCCGCCCUGCGGGUGUGGCCAGCACAAAGCCAGACGCGAUCAGCGCACCCCCGGGUCGCUGUGGGGCCAGGCCCAGAGCCGUGCCCCGGGGAGUAGCGCGCUCAGACAUGCCGCCUGGGCCGGGCCGGGCCGGCCAGAGGAGGGGGCCCUUCCCCGGGCAGGCCCCGCAGGCUGGAGGGGACCGAUGUGCAGCGCCGGACACAGCGCUGGGUGGGUGCGAGCAGGGCACGGGGCGGCCAGCCGGCUCCCAGCGCCG